rnacentral:rRNA from 1 species
GAGCGGCUACGGCCGCGAAGUGGAUGAUGCCAAGCUUCCAAGAAAAGCCCUAUACCCGUUAAGGCAUGAUGGCCUGUACCCGAAACCGACACAGGUGGGGUGGUAGAGAAUACCGAGGGGCGCGAGGUAACUCUCUCUAAGGAACUCGGCAAAAUGGCCCCGUAACUUCGGGAGAAGGGGUGCCACCGCGAGGUGGUCGCAGUGAAGAGGCCCAGGCGACUGUUUACCAAAAACACAGGUCUCCGCUAAGUCGCAAGACGAUGUAUGGGGGCUGACGCCUGCCCAGUGCCGGAAGGUUAAGGAAGCUGGUCUGCGCAAGCGAAGCUGGCGACUGAAGCCCCGGUGAACGGCGGCCGUAACGAUAACGGUCCUAAGGUAGCGAAAUUCCUUGUCGGGUAAGUUCCGACCCGCACGAAAGGCGUAACGAUCUGGGCGCUGUCUCGGAGAGAGGCUCGGCGAAAUAGAAUUGUCUGUGAAGAUGCGGACUACGUGCACCCGGACAGAAAGACCCUAUGAAGCUUUACUGUAGCUUGGUAUUGUGCUCGGGCUCGGAAUGCGCAGGAUAGGUGGGAGGCUUUGAUCCAUUGCUUGCGGGUGAUGGUGAGCCACUGGUGAGAUACCACUCUUUCCGAGCUAGAGUUCUAACAGCAACCCGUUAUCCGGGUGCUGGACAGUAUCAGGUGGGCAGUUUGACUAGGGCGGUCGCCUCCUAAAAGGUAACGGAGGCGCGCAAAGGUCUGCUCAGGCUGGUUGGAAAUCAGCCGACGAGUGUAAAAGCAGAAGCAGGCUUGACUGUGAGACCUACAAGUCGAACAGGGAGGAAACUCGGCUUUAGUGAUCCGACGGUUCUGCGUGGAAGGGCCGUCGCUCAACGGAUAAAAGUUACUCUAGGGAUAACAGGCUGAUCUCCCCCAAGAGUUCACAUCGACGGGGAGGUUUGGCACCUCGAUGUCGGCUCAUCGCAACCUGGGGCUGAAGUCGGUCCCAAGGGUUGGGCUGUUCGCCCAUUAAAGCGGUACGCGAGCUGGGUUCAGAACGUCGUGAGACAGUUCGGUCCAUAUCCGGUGCACGCGCAGGAAUAUUGAGAGGAUUUCUCCCUAGUACGAGAGGACCGGGAGGAACGCACCUCUGGUGUGCCAGUUAUCGUGCCAACGGUAAACGCUGGGUAGCCAUGUGCGGAGUGGAUAACCGCUGAAAGCAUCUAAGUGGGAAGCCCACCUCAAGAUGAGUAUUCCCAUGGCAUAAGCCAGUAAGGUCACGGGAAGAACACCCGUUGAUAGGCUCUACGUGGAAGCGCAGUAAUGUGAAGCGGAGGAGUACUAAUAGACC